GUCUAUAGCCAUACCACCCUGAUCGUGCCUGAUCUCCUCUGAUCUCAGAAGCUAAGCAGGCUUGGGCCUGAUUAGUACUUGGAUGGGAGAGUAAUGACAAGGAGAAAUGUCUGGAUGCACACA
rnacentral:rRNA from 1 species